CGCGUGGGGAUGUGCCCUUUGCUACGGAAUAGUCCCGGGAAACUGGGUUUAAUACCGUAUGAGCCCUUCGGGGGAAAGAUUUAUCGGCAAAGGAUCAACCCGCGUUGGAUUAGGUAGUUGGUGGGGUAAUGGCCUACCAAGCCGACGAUCCAUAGCUGGUUUGAGAGGAUGAUCAGCCACACUGGGACUGAGACACGGCCCAGACUCCUACGGGAGGCAGCAGUGGGGAAUCUUAGACAAUGGGGGCAACCCUGAUCUAGCCAUGCCGCGUGAACGAUGAAGGCCUUAGGGUUGUAAAGUUCUUUCAGCUGGGAAGAUAAUGACGGUACCAGCAGAAGAAGCCCCGGCUAACUCCGUG
rnacentral:rRNA from 1 species